rnacentral:rRNA from 1 species
GGAUGAACGCUAGCUACAGGCUUAACACAUGCAAGUCGAGGGGCAGCAUGGUCUUAGCUUGCUAAGGCCGAUGGCGACCGGCGCACGGGUGAGUAACACGUAUCCAACCUGCCGUCUACUCUUGGACAGCCUUCUGAAAGGAAGAUUAAUACAAGAUGGCAUCAUGAGUUCACAUGUUCACAUGAUUAAAGGUAUUCCGGUAGACGAUGGGGAUGCGUUCCAUUAGAAUAGUAGGCGGGGUAACGGCCCACCUAGUCUUCGAUGGAUAGGGGUUCUGAGAGGAAGGUCCCCCACAUUGGAACUGAGACACGGUCCAAACUCCUACGGGAGGCAGCAGUGAGGAAUAUUGGUCAAUGGGCGAGAGCCUGAACCAGCCAAGUAGCGUGAAGGAUGACUGCCCUAUGGGUUGUAAACUUCUUUUAUAAAGGAAUAAAGUCGGGUAUGCAUACCCGCUUGCAUGUACUUUAUGAAUAAGGAUCGGCUAACUCCGUGCCAGCAGCCGCGGUAAU